rnacentral:lncRNA from 1 species
UGAGAAAAACUACUGGUAUUUUCUUGUGUAGCAUAGAGCAUUGCAAAGAUAUACAUCGUUUAAUGUGAUUAAGAAUUUUUAGGCUAUCCUCAGAUUCUGCCAUAAGGUGGUAAUGCUAGUGCUUGAUUUAUUGAUCAAGAUCUCUCUCAGUUCAGCCAACCUUUGCUGCUCGAUCAACUUUACAUCUUGGAUCUAUCUUUGCAGGAUUACUUGGCCUAUGAAGGAGAGCAUAAAGCUAAAAUUGCUGCAGAUUUUCUUAGGUAGAACAAAAACAAGUUGCUUCUCUUGAUUCAGGAUUUCCAGUCUAUCUACAGUAUAUAAACAAGAAUGAUCUCACCCUACCGCACACUAUAAACAAGAAUGAUCUCACCCUACCGCACACUUUGCCCGAAGGAUUUCUGGUUCAUGUAUAGAUUAAACAAUGGUGAACCAAGCCAAAAUUGCAUUCCUGCAUUGCAUGGCCUUGAGAUAACGUGGGCAAGUUGUCAUAAAAAUAUUUGCUUUUGGAAACAAAUUACCCUUGGAAACUAGAAAGAGCGGGAAUUAGAGAAUCACUAUAUUUGCAAAUUAAUACUUGCUAUGGCCAAUGCCUACUUCAGUGCUAGCUGGCUUGAGUAGGGAAGCAAGCUCACCAGAAUAGAUAGCUAUCGACUGUUUUAGGAAUGGAGAGCGUCAAACCGACCACAAAUCUA